ACCUAAUCAAAUUCUAAAAAUCUAAGUAGUUCUAGAAUUCCAAUUAAAUCUAAUUCUAAUCAAUUAAUCCAAAAUCCUAAUCAAUCUAAAUUUCUAACCUUAUUAACCUAAUUAGAAUCUAAUUAAUUAACUCCUCCUUGCCGCUUGAAGACUGCUCCCCUCCUCCUUCUGAGACGGCUUCUACAACCGCGGCUUGUACGGUUGUGCGAUAUGUAUGCCACUUCUGUACGUGAUUGGAGCGGAAGGUGUUACAGGAUGAUGAAGAGGUGAUGCAGCAGGAAGGAUUUUCGUGCAGAAUGGAGAAGAUCGAUGCAGAUUGAGGUGGAGAUUGAAGGACGCGAUGAAGAUGAAGAAGAAAACAGAAGGAAGGUGUUGAAGAAGAUUGAAGAUUGAAGGAGAUUCUAGAUGAAAGAAGAUUGAAAAUGAAUCAAAGGAAGAGGGAGUGGAGUGUGAUUUUGGGACAGUGACAGCCACCGUAUCAGUAGCAGCACCCUCGGUCGCGGUUUCAGAGUCUUCAUGGCCUCCUUGAACAAGUUCAAAGCUUUCGGAUGUGGUGUGCAACCGGAGUUAUUUUGGAAUGCAUUUUUUACUGAAUUAUGUGCUUUCAAAUAAAUAUUGAAUGUUGUGUUGCAAUGAAACUCACGGAUGUGUACCGAUUGUAAAGUUUUUUUGCUCGAUUAAAUGAUAUUGGAUGAGUGUUAUUAAGUGAAAUCGUUGAGUUGGUUUGUAAAAUGGGAUGUGGAAAAUUAUAGUUUGUACUUUGAAUUGGAAUUGAUAGUUAUGAAAAGUUUGGUUGUUUGGAAAUUGUAUUGAA